GACGAACGCUGGCGGCGUGCUUAACACAUGCAAGUCGAACGGAAAGGCCCUGCUUUUGUGGGGUGCUCGAGUGGCGAACGGGUGAGUAACACGUGAGUAACCUGCCCUUGACUUUGGGAUAACUUCAGGAAACUGGGGCUAAUACCGGAUAGGAGCUCCUGCUGCAUGGUGGGGGUUGGAAAGUUUCGGCGGUUGGGGAUGGACUCGCGGCUUAUCAGCUUGUUGGUGGGGUAGUGGCUUACCAAGGCUUUGACGGGUAGCCGGCCUGAGAGGGUGACCGGCCACAUGGGGACUGAGAUACGGCCCAGACUCCUACGGGAGGCAGCAGUGGGGAAUAUUGCACAAUGGGCGGAAGCCUGAUGCAGCAACGCCGCGUGCGGGAUGACGGCCUUCGGGUUGUAAACCGCUUUCGCCUGUGACGAAGCGUGAGUGACGGUAAUGGGUAAAGAAGCACCGGCUAACUACGCG
rnacentral:rRNA from 1 species